CCAGUCUUCAACAGAGCUGGGUGCAGAAACAAACCACCAGUUCAUGCAGUGUGAGUUUUUAAGGGUAUGUUCCAAUUUUCUGCGCCCUCUUCCAGGGCAGAUGUGAAACCUUGUGUUCACUCCAGCGCUCCUUUCCGGGCAGCGCGUGGGGGCUUUCCCAGCCAGUGUGUUCCCCCCUCGCACAUCGCUGCCUGCCACGGUCAUGGACAGCACCUCAGUUGAACUCUGACCUGUCUCGUCCUGACGCCCACCGAGCCUGCUGCUGUCUGUCUGUUGUAACAUUUCUGUCUGUCCUCAGAUCUUUGGAAUAAGCUGACUGUAUUUCACCAGACCUUAUGGCUCCUCGUCUGUUACCUUCACGCCCUUCACACUGACGUGCUGUGCUCAACUUUGCAACCAAGUGUUCACUGGCUGGUGCUGCUUUCUCCCCCAUUCCCGUCCUACCCUCCUGCUAUUUGCAUUGCAUUAAUAUGCAAAUGAAACGAAAUGAAACACUUCCUCUUGGGUUGAGAAUUCGCAGUUUUAGGGCUGAAGACGGGCUGCUUUAGUUUUUCAUAGACUUUUGUGACACCACGUUCUGCUGCUGUGUUGGAACGUAGGACCGUUCCCAGAUGUGUGCCUGCCUGCUUUCCUUAUUCUCUUCCUUCCCCUUUCUCUCUCUUGCCCUUGCUGGGGAUCAGGACAUGCUAUCCCAAAAUAUAGAAUGCCAAAAUAUUGGCAUUUUGAAUAUAUUUUAAGCCGAAAGAGUUUGAGAAACUGGCAAAAGCAGGAAGGUCACUCUGACUCCCCUCCCCUCCGCCACCCUUCUUCCUUGAAACUGGUCAUAAAACUCUCAUGUGAGAGGUACCCUCCCUACACCUGGAGGAAAGGAACAACCUUAUAAAAAGAAUCCCCCCAAACAGGUCUUGUUAAUUUUUCCCCAGUUUACUAUACUUACCUCAACAUAUUAACCUAUCAUAUUCCUCCGCGAUUGUCCACUCGUCAUCAAACCUAGCAUAAAAAUACUCAGGUCUAAUUGUUCCUCUGGAUCUUCAUUUCCUUAUGAAGGCUCCCAUGUCACGUAAAACUUCAAUAAAUUUAUGUGCAUUUCUCCUGUUAA